rnacentral:rRNA from 1 species
CCUACGGGAGGCUGCAGUGGGGAAUAUUGCACAAUGGGGGAAACCCUGAUGCAGCGACGCCGCGUGAGUGAAGAAGUAAUUCGUUAUGUAAAGCUCUAUCAGCAGGGAAGAAAAUGACGGUACCUGAGUAAGAAGCCCCGACUAACUACGUGCCAGCAGCCGCGGUAAUACGUAGGGGGCAAGCGUUAUCCGGAUUUACUGGGUGUAAAGGGAGCGUAGACGGCAGUGCAAGUCUGGAGUGAAAGGGGGGGGCUCAACCCCCGGACUGCUCUGGAAACUGUACGGCUGGAGUGCAGGAGAGGUAAGUGGAAUUCCUAGUGUAGCGGUGAAAUGCGUAGAUAUUAGGAGGAACACCAGUGGCGAAGGCGGCUUACUGGACUGUAACUGACGUUGAGGCUCGAAAGCGUGGGGAGCAAACAGGAUUAGAUACCCCUGUAGUC